GUGGGGUGUACACAUAUGGUGGGGGAGGUGGCGACUUGUAGAUAUAUGGAGGAGGUGGUGAUGGUGGAGGAGGAGAUGGGUAAACAUAAGGUGGAGGAGGUGGUGACUUAUACACAUAUGGAGGAGGUGGGGGUGAUUUGUAGAUAUAUGGAGGAGGAGGCGAUGGUGGAGGAGGAGAUGGGUAAACAUAAGGUGGAGGAGGUGGUGAUUUGUAUACGUAUGGAGGAGGUGGUGAUGGUGGAGGAGGAGACGGGUAAACGUAAGGUGGAGGAGGUGGUGACUUGUACACAUAUGGAGGAGGUGGGGGUGACUUGUACACAUAUGGAGGAGGUGGUGAUGGUGGAGGAGGAGACGGGUAAACAUAAGGUGGAGGAGGUGGUGACUUGUACACGUAUGGAGGAGGUGGGGGUGACUUGUACACAUAUGGAGGAGGUGGCGGUGACUUGUAUACAUACGGAGGAGGUGGUGAUGGUGGAGGAGGAGACGGGUAAACGUAAGGUGGAGGAGGUGGUGACUUGUACACGUAUGGAGGAGGUGGGGGUGACUUGUAUACAUAUGGAG
rnacentral:lncRNA from 1 species